AAUAGAUACCCAGGUAGUCCACGCCCUAAACGAUGUCGACUGGUUGUUGGGGGGUUUGACACCCUCAGUAACGAAGCUAACGCGUGAAGUCGACCGCCUGGGGAGUACGGCCGCAAGGUUAAAACUCAAAGGAAUUGACGGGGACCCGCGACAAGCGGUGGAUUAUGUGGAUUAAUUCGAUGCAACGCGAAAAACCUUACCUACCCUUGACAUGUCCGGAAGCCUGCUGAGAGGCGGGUGUGCCCGAAAGGGAACCGGAACACAGGUGCUGCAUGGCUGUCGUCAGCUCGUGUCGUGAGAUGUUGGGUUAAGUCCCGCAACGAGCGCAACCCUUGUCAUUAGUUGCUACAUUCAGUUGGGCACUCUAAUGAGACUGCCGGUGACAAACCGGAGGAAGGUGGGGAUGACGUCAAGUCCUCAUGGCCCUUAUGGGUAGGGCUUCACACGUAAUACAAUGGCGCGUACAGAGGGCUGCUAAGCCGCGAGGUAGAGCCAAUCCCGUUAAAGCGCGUCGUAGUCCGGAUUGCAGUCUGCAA
rnacentral:rRNA from 1 species